UACGGAGGGUGCAAGCGUUAUCCGGAUUCACUGGGUUUAAAGGGUGCGUAGGAGGGUAGGUAAGUCAGUGGUGAAAUCUCCGGGCUCAACUCGGAAACUGCCGUUGAUACUAUCUGUCUUGAAUGCCGUGGAGGUGAGCGGAAUAUGUCAUGUAGCGGUGAAAUGCUUAGAUAUGACAUAGAGCACCAAUUGCGAAGGCAGCUCACUACACGAACAUUGACUCUGAGGCACGAAAGCGUGGGGAUCAAACAGG
rnacentral:rRNA from 1 species